rnacentral:rRNA from 2 species
GUCACACUAUCAUUAACUGAAUCCAUAGGUUAAUGAGGCGAACCGGGGGAACUGAAACAUCUAAGUACCCCGAGGAAAAGAAAUCAACCGAGAUUCCCCCAGUAGCGGCGAGCGAACGGGGAGGAGCCCAGAGCCUGAAUCAGCAUGUGUGUUAGUGGAAGCGUCUGGAAAGGCGCGCGAUACAGGGUGACAGCCCCGUACACAAAAGCGCAUGUGCUGUGAGCUCGAUGAGUAGGGCGGGACACGUGGUAUCCUGUCUGAAUAUGGGGGGACCAUCCUCCAAGGCUAAAUACUCCUGACUGACCGAUAGUGAACCAGUACCGUGAGGGAAAGGCGAAAAGAACCCCGGCGAGGGGAGUGAAAAAGAACCUGAAACCGUGUACGUACAAGCAGUGGGAGCNNNNNNNNNNNGGGCGUUAAGUUGCAGGGUAUAGACCCGAAACCCGGUGAUCUAGCCAUGGGCAGGUUGAAGGUUGGGUAACACUAACUGGAGGACCGAACCGACUAAUGUUGAAAAAUUAGCGGAUGACCUGUGGCUGGGGGUGAAAGGCCAAUCAAACCGGGAGAUAGCUGGUUCUCCCCGAAAGCUAUUUAGGUAGCGCCUCGUGAAUUCAUCUCCGGGGGUAGAGCACUGUUUCGGCUAGGGGGCCAUCCCGGCUUACCAACCCGAUGCAAACUGCGAAUACCGGAGAAUGUUAUCACGGGAGACACACGGCGGGUGCUAACGUCCGUCGUGAAGAGGGAAACAACCCAGACCGCCAGCUAAGGUCCCAAAGUCAUGGUUAAGUGGGAAACGAUGUGGGAAGGCCCAGACAGCCAGGAUGUUGGCUUAGAAGCAGCCAUCAUUUAAAGAAAGCGUAAUAGCUCACUGGUCGAGUCGGCCUGCGCGGAAGAUGUAACGGGGCUAAACCAUGCACCGAAGCUGCGGCAGCGANNUGCUGGAGGUAUCAGAAGUGCGAAUGCUGACAUAAGUAACGAUAAAGCGGGUGAAAAGCCCGCUCGCCGGAAGACCAAGGGUUCCUGUCCAACGUUAAUCGGGGCAGGGUGAGUCGACCCCUAAGGCGAGGCCGAAAGGCGUAGUCGAUGGGAAACGGGUUAAUAUUCCCGUACUUGGUGUUACUGCGAAGGGGGGACGGAGAAGGCUAUGUUGGCCGGGCGACGGUUGUCCCGGUUUAAGCGUGUAGGUGUGUGUUCCAGGUAAAUCCGGUUCACUUUAACACUGAGGCGUGA